rnacentral:rRNA from 1 species
GAUGAACGCUGGCGGCGUGCCUAAUACAUGCAAGUCGAGCGAACGGACGAGAAGCUUGCUUCUCUGAUGUUAGCGGCGGACGGGUGAGUAACACGUGGAUAACCUACCUAUAAGACUGGGAUAACUUCGGGAAACCGGAGCUAAUACCGGAUAAUAUUUUGAACCGCAUGGUUCAAAAGUGAAAGACGGUCUUGCUGUCACUUAUAGAUGGAUCCGCGCUGCAUUAGCUAGUUGGUAAGGUAACGGCUUACCAAGGCAACGAUGCAUAGCCGACCUGAGAGGGUGAUCGGCCACACUGGAACUGAGACACGGUCCAGACUCCUACGGGAGGCAGCAGUAGGGAAUCUUCCGCAAUGGGCGAAAGCCUGACGGAGCAACGCCGCGUGAGUGAUGAAGGUCUUCGGAUCGUAAAACUCUGUUAUUAGGGAAGAACAUAUGUGUAAGUAACUGUGCACAUCUUGACGGUACCUAAUCAGAAAGCCACGGCUAACUACGUGCCAGCAGCCGCGGUAAUACGUAGGUGGCAAGCGUUAUCCGGAAUUAUUGGGCGUAAAGCGCGCGUAGGCGGUUUUUUAAGUCUGAUGUGAAAGCCCACGGCUCAACCGUGGAGGGUCAUUGGAAACUGGAAAACUUGAGUGCAGAAGAGGAAAGUGGAAUUCCAUGUGUAGCGGUGAAAUGCGCAGAGAUAUGGAGGAACACCAGUGGCGAAGGCGACUUUCUGGUCUGUAACUGACGCUGAUGUGCGAAAGCGUGGGGAUCAAACAGGAUUAGAUACCCUGGUAGUCCACGCCGUAAACGAUGAGUGCUAAGUGUUAGGGGGUUUCCGCCCCUUAGUGCUGCAGCUAACGCAUUAAGCACUCCGCCUGGGGAGUACGACCGCAAGGUUGAAACUCAAAGGAAUUGACGGGGACCCGCACAAGCGGUGGAGCAUGUGGUUUAAUUCGAAGCAACGCGAAGAACCUUACCAAAUCUUGACAUCCUUUGACAACUCUAGAGAUAGAGCCUUCCCCUUCGGGGGACAAAGUGACAGGUGGUGCAUGGUUGUCGUCAGCUCGUGUCGUGAGAUGUUGGGUUAGGUCCCGCAACGAGCGCAACCCUUAAGCUUAGUUGCCAUCAUUAAGUUGGGCACUCUAAGUUGACUGCCGGUGACAAACCGGAGGAAGGUGGGGAUGACGUCAAAUCAUCAUGCCCCUUAUGAUUUGGGCUACACACGUGCUACAAUGGACAAUACAAAGGGCAGCGAAACCGCGAGGCCAAGCAAAUCCCAUAAAGUUGUUCUCAGUUCGGAUUGUAGUCUGCAACUCGACUACAUGAAGCUGGAAUCGCUAGUAAUCGUAGAUCAGCAUGCUACGGUGAAUACGUUCCCGGGUCU